rnacentral:piRNA from 1 species
CCUGAAUGUCACUAGUAAGCAGAUCGCAA